GACGUAGGAUGCAAGCGUUGUCCGGAUUCAUUGGGCGUAAAGAGUUCGUAGGCGGUUUGUUAAGUCUGAUGUUAAAGAUCGGGGGCCCAACCCCGGGGUUGCAUUGGAUACUGGCAGACUGGAGUGCAGUAGAGGCGAGUGGAAUUCCCAGUGUAGCGGUGAAAUGCGUGAGAUAUUGGGAAGAACACCGGUGGCGCAGGCGACUCGCUGGGCUGUAACUGACGCUGAGGAACGAAAGCUAGGGGAGCAAA
rnacentral:rRNA from 1 species